AUUGAACGCUGGCGGCAUGCCUUACACAUGCAAGUCGAACGGUAACAGGUCUUCGGAUGCUGACGAGUGGCGAACGGGUGAGUAAUACAUCGGAACGUGCCUAGUAGUGGGGGAUAACUACUCGAAAGAGUGGCUAAUACCGCAUGAGAUCUACGGAUGAAAGCAGGGGAUCGCAAGACCUUGUGCUACUAGAGCGGCCGAUGGCAGAUUAGGUAGUUGGUGGGAUAAAAGCUUACCAAGCCGACGAUCUGUAGCUGGUCUGAGAGGACGAUCAGCCACACUGGGACUGAGACACGGCCCAGAGUCCUACGGGAGGCAGCAGUGGGGAAUUUUGGGCAAUGGGCGCAAGCCUGAUCCAGCAAUGCCGCGUGCAGGAUGAAGGCCUUCGGGUUGUAAACUGCUUUUGUACGGAACGAAAAGCCCUGGGUUAAUACCCUGGGGUCAUGACGGUACCGUAAGAAUAAGCACCGGCUAACUACGUGCCAGCCGCCGCGGUAACAC
rnacentral:rRNA from 1 species